CAGUCGCCACGGUAAAACGAAGGGUGCAAGCGUUAAUCGGAAUUACUGGGCGUAAAGCGUGCGUAGGCGGUGAGUUAAGUCUGCUGUGAAAUCCCCGGGCUCAACCUGGGAAUGGCAGUGGAUACUGGCUCGCUAGAGUGUGUCAGAGGAUGGUGGAAUUCCCGGUGUAGCGGUGAAAUGCGUAGAGAUCGGGAGGAACAUCAGUGGCGAAGGCGGCCAUCUGGGACAACACUGACGCUGAGGCACGAAAGCGUGGGGAGCAAACAGGAUUAGAUACCCGGGUAGUCCCUGUCUCUUAUAC
rnacentral:rRNA from 1 species